rnacentral:misc_RNA from 1 species
GUUCUUCCUCCUCCCUCUCUCUCUCCAAUUUCUCUCUAGAUCUCUCCUCUGAGUUGUCUUCCACAUGGCCGCCUGCUUUUCUCCGUCGCUCUCCGUAUCUGGGGGAUUGAUCAAGGCUUCAGAUCUCUCCUCAAAGUCCAUUUCCUUUGGGCAAGCACCAAAACUCGCCAUUCAGAGGAAGUGCUCAAGAACCAACCACAAGUUAUCAGUCCGUGCUGAGUACAAUGAUGGUGGUAGAAGUGGAGGUGGGGAUUUUGUGGCUGGUUUCCUUCUUGGGGGUGCUGUAUUUGGAACCUUAGCUUAUAUUUUUGCUCCGCAGAUCAGGAGAUCUAUACUAAAUGAAGAUGAGUAUGGUUUUAGGAGGGCUAAGCGUCCAAUCUACUACGAUGAAGGUCUAGAGAAAACAAGACAGACGUUGAAUGCAAAAAUAAGCCAAUUGAAUUCUGCGAUUGAUAAUGUAUCUUCACGUCUAAGAGGUGGCAACAAUACUCCAGCUGUG